rnacentral:rRNA from 1 species
AUCGAACGCUGGCGGCAGGCCUAACACAUGCAAGUCGAACGAGUGGCGGACGGGUGAGUAAUGUCUGGGAAACUGCUCGAUGGAGGGGGAUAACUAAUGGAAACGGUAGCUAAUACCGCAUACCAUCGGAUGUGCCCAGAUGGGAUGGGCUUGUAGGUGGGGUAACGGCUCACCUGGGCGACGAUCCCUAGCUGGUCGGAGAGGAUGACCAGCCACACUGGAGCUGAGACACGGUCCAUACUCCUACGGGAGGCACCAGUGGGGAAUAUUGCACAAUGGGCGCAAGCCUGAUGCAGCCAUGCCGCGUGUAUGAAGAAGGCCUUCGGGUUGUAAAGUACUUUCAGCGAGGAGGCGUUACUCGCAGAAGAAGCACCGGCUAACUCCGUGCCAGCAGCCGCGGUAAUAC